AUGGCCCUUAAACCAGUCCAAGGGGACAUUACAAAGGAGAGGCCCGGGUUUUUCUGUGGAACAUUAGAUGCAUCGUAUCAGCUGCAAGUGGAGAACCCUUGUGUAGGCUAUUUUUUGGGGGAGGAUGGGGGCAGCCAUAGCCCCGCUGUUUAUUCUCACAGAAAAGUUUCUUCUGCUCUGGCCACAUAUCAAGGCCAUUUAAGAAUAGGCUCAUGGCAAAAGAGGUCCCUUCAUCACCAGAAGAAUACCUGCAAUGGAACACCAGUGCACCUCCACAUUCCCUACGCUGUUUCUUUGAUAAUUUGGGGUGGGGGAAGGGGAGGUUUGCCCCAGAAGGAAGGUGUGGAUUGGGCAUAUCUGACUUACACUGUCUUGGGUCUCAGAGAAACCACAGGGAAAUCCACGCCUCCUUGGUGUCUGAAUAAAGGGAAGGAACAGGUGAGAUGAGGAGGAGAAGAGAAAGAACAGAAAAGAAGGGAAGAAGGAGUUGCCACUCAACAUUUGGUUCAUCAGAAAUGCUUUCAUGAUCAAAAGGGCCUUUGAAAAUACAGCAAAGAAAAGAACGCAUGAUGGGAUGCUCCCAGGUGAAGUGGAAUCUUUUCUGACACCUUUUUUUUAAAAAGUAGGAAACACAACCUUAAGUCACUGUCACUGAGAGGAAGGUAAGUUUGCCUAAUGAUCGUGGCACAGAAGGACUUCUUUGUAAUCUUCAAGAAACCUAAGUUGAUGAAGCACCCAAACAAGGUCACCAUGCAGCUCUUCCAUCUUUCAAGGGAAGAGAAAGACAAGCAACAUAUCUGCAGCUGGAGCUUUAAAAAGAGAAAUUGGACUCAGAAUCCCCUCCAGCCCACCUGGCUAUUAGCUAUGCUGCCCAGGGGACUCUGGCACCUGUAGUCCGAUGAGCACCAUUUCCAAGCAUGGAGUUAUGCAUCCCUAAAAAGUGUUCCACUUUUAAUUGUGUCCCCAAAAACCAGUUCCAAAGGGCACACAACAGAAAGAGUUUGUGUCACCACAAGGUCUGUGGCCAAUGCAUUUGAAGAGGAGUAACAUGGAUGAAGGAUCAUGACACAUCCCCCUCCCCAGGCCAGUAGCUGUGAAGAAGACAGAAACACCACCAAUUCUUUAGAAUAACUUUGCAGGUUGAGGCACACAGGAAAUCCUGAUUCAGAUCUCCUUGCUUUCUUAGUCUGGAAUUCAGCACCAGGCCUCUGAGGACAGCUCCUAAUCUCCAACACAGUGUCCCCUCGGAUGUGAACCGACACCUCUGGACUUCUCAUUGCCUCGUAGUCAACAUUGAACAGAACGUGGAAAUGACAUAUUUCUGGGUUCAAAUGUAUCUUUCUUGCCCGUGUGAGACUUGAGCAUUAUGGAGAGCUUUUAAAGCAUUAAAACAUUUGACUGCAGUUUUGAAAAACAAAUUGCAAAAAUAGGCUUUUUUUUUUUUUAA
rnacentral:lncRNA from 1 species